AGCCCUGCAAGAAUCCAAGUAAAUAAAGCUAAACCUUCACUACUGAAAAACAGCUUCUAGACAACUCAUGUAUCAUAUACUUUAUAUCCUUGCAUGGAUUCUCCAAAUCUAGUCUCUGAGAUCAGUGGUCAGCCCUGUUUUCUGCUGGGAUAAACCUUGUGGAAGAUCUCUUCAUGCACAAAGUGACACAGGUAUAUCAUUCAUCUGGGUCUGUGGCCUAGAAAAGACAGACUCUGAGUUUUGUGCAGCUCCCUGUGAGUUAGUUAACUUCAUCUAUUUCUUUACAGUCAAUUUGAAACUCAUUAAGGUUACUAUACCACAAAAAUUGCUGCUCUAAGAAUAUGCCAAGUGCCUUCAGAAAAGAUGCAGAAAAUGAAGUACAACAAAAUCAAGCUCUUCGGCACAGGCUUCCAGGCACCAAGAGAUUUGGGACUAGCAUACAGAUCCACCACUCCACAAACUUACCUUUAUCACAGUUACAUAUUCAGAAUUUUAUAUUUGUACAUCUUAAUGCACCUUGUUUUGUAGGGCUGAUUGGAGUUAAGACUUUUUUUGCCCUCUGGCGACAUUGUAACUGUGAAAGCAAUGGACGAAUAAAGGAGUCAUUAUUCUCCAGUGUGCUAUGUGGUUGAUUGUAACUUAUACAUUUUCAUUCUCAGAAACA
ensembl:lncRNA